rnacentral:tRNA from 1 species
AGCGGGGUAGAUGAGUUAAGCUCAACCCAAAGCAGCCUGGAGUUGCUUGUGAUAGAAUGCUCGUCGGGCUCAUAACCCGAAGGUCGUCAGUUCAAAUCUGACCCCCGCUA